rnacentral:rRNA from 1 species
GAUGAACGCUGGCGGUAUGCUUAACACAUGCAAGUCGAACGGACUCUUCGGAGUUAGUGGCGGACGGGUGAGUAACGCGUGAGAAUCUGGCUUUGGGUUCGGGACAACCACUGGAAACGGUGGCUAAUACCGGAUGUGCCGAGAGGUAAAAGAGAAAUUGCCUGAAGAUGAGCUCGCGUCUGAUUAGCUAGUUGGUGAGGUAAGGGCUCACCAAGGCAGCGAUCAGUAGCUGGUCUGAGAGGAUGACCAGCCACACUGGGACUGAGACACGGCCCAGACUCCUACGGGAGGAAGCAGUGGGGAAUUUUCCGCAAAGGGCGAAAGACUGACGGAGCAAUACCGCGUGAGGGAAGAAGGCUCUUGGGUUGUAAACCUCUUUUCUUAGGGAAGAACAAAAUGACGGUACCUAAGGAAUCAGCAUCGGCUAACUCCGUG